rnacentral:misc_RNA from 1 species
GAAAUGCGAUAAGUAAUGUGAAUUGCAGAAUUCAGUGAAUCAUCGAAUCUUUGAACGCACAUUGCGCCCGCCAGUAUUCUGGUGGGCAUGCCUGUUCGAGCGUCAUUUCAACCAUCAAGCCCCCGGCUUGUGUUGGGGACCUGCGGCUGCCCGCAGGCCCUGAAAAACAGUGGCGGGCUCGCUGUCACACCGAGCGUAGUAGCAUACAUUCUCGCUCAGGGCGUGCUGUGGGUUCCGGCCGUUAAACGACCUUCAUAACCCAAGGUUGACCUCGGAUCAGGUAGGAAGACCCGCUGAACUUAAGC